GACGAACGCUGGCGGCGUGCUUAACACAUGCAAGUCGAACGGAAAGGCCCUGCUUUUGUGGGGUGCUCGAGUGUCGAACGGGUGAGUAACACGUGAGUAACCUGCCCUUGACUUUGGGAUAACUUCAGGAAACUGGGGCUAAUACCGGAUAGGAGCUCCUGCGGCAUGGUGGGGGUUGGAAAGUUUCGGCGGUUGGGGAUGGACUCGCGGCUUAUCAGCUUGUUGGUGGGGUAGUGGCUUACCAAGGCUUUGACGGGUAGCCGGACUGAGAGGGUGACCGGCCACAUUGGGACUGAGAUGAGGCCCAGACUCCUACGGGAGGCAGCAGUGGGGAAUAUUGCACACUGGGCGGAAGCCUGAUGCAGUAACGCCGCGUGCGGGAUGACGGCCUUCGGGUUGUAAACCGCUUUCGCCUGUGACGAAGCGUGAGUGACGGUAAUGGGUAAAGAAGCACCGGCUAACUACGUG
rnacentral:rRNA from 1 species